rnacentral:rRNA from 1 species
GACGAACGCUGGCGGCGUGCUUAACACAUGCAAGUCGAACGGAAAGGCCUCUUUCGGGGGGUACUCGAGUGGCGAACGGGUGAGUAACACGUGAGUAACCUGCCCUUGACUUUGGGAUAACUUCAGGAAACUGGGGCUAAUACCGGAUAGGAGCUCCUGCUGCAUGGUGGGGGUUGGAAAGUUUCGGCGGUUGGGGAUGGACUCGCGGCUUAUCAGCUUGUUGGUGGGGUAGUGGCUUACCAAGGCUUUGACGGGUAGCCGGCCUGAGAGGGUGACCGGCCACAUUGGGACUGAGAUACGACCCAGACUCCUACGGGAGGCAGCAGUGGGGAAUAUUGCACAAUGGGUGGAAGCCUGAUGCAGCAACGCCGUGUGCGGGAUGACGGCCUUCGGGUUGGAAACCGCUUUCGCUCAUGACGAAGCUUUGUGUGACGGUAGUGGGUAAAGAAGCACCGGCUAACUACGUG